AGCUUGCUCCCUGAGAUUAGCGGCGGACGGGUGAGUAACACGUGGGCAACCUGCCUAUAAGACUGGGAUAACUUCGGGAAACCGGAGCUAAUACCGGAUACGUUCUUUUCUCGCAUGAGAGAAGAUGGAAAGACGGUUUACGCUGUCACUUAUAGAUGGGCCCGCGGCGCAUUAGCUAGUUGGUGAGGUAAUGGCUCACCAAGGCGACGAUGCGUAGCCGACCUGAGAGGGCGAUCGGCCACACUGGGACUGAGACACGGCCCAGACUCCUACGGGAGGCAGCAGUAGGGAAUCUUCCGCAAUGGACGAAAGUCUGACGGAGCAACGCCGCGUGAACGAAGAAGGCCUUCGGGUCGUAAAGUUCUGUUGUUAGGGAAGAACAAGUACCAGAGUAACUGCUGGUACCUUGACGGUACCUAACCAGAAAGCCACGGCUAACUACGUGCCAGCAGCCGCGGUAAUACGUAGGUGGCAAGCGUUGUCCGGAAUUAUUGGGCGUAAAGCGCGCGCAGGUGGUUCCUUAAGUCUGAUGUGAAAGCCCACGGCUCAACCGUGGAGGGUCAUUGGAAACUGGGGAACUUGAGUGC
rnacentral:rRNA from 1 species